rnacentral:rRNA from 1 species
GACGAACGCUGGCGGCGUGCUUAACACAUGCAAGUCGAACGAUGAAGCUAGAGCUUGCUCUGGUGGAUUAGUGGCGAACGGGUGAGUAACACGUGAGUAACCUGCCCCGAACUCUGGGAUAACUGCUGGAAACGGUAGCUAAUACCGGAUAUGACCAAUGAAGGCAUCUUCUGGUGGUGGAAAGAAUUUCGGUUCGGGAUGGACUCGCGGCCUAUCAGCUUGUUGGUGAGGUAACGGCUCAACAAGGCGACGACGGGUAGCCGGCCUGAGAGGGUGAUCGGCCACACUGGGACUGAGACACGGCCCAGACUCCUACGGGAGGCAGCAGUGGGGAAUAUUGCACAAUGGGCGCAAGCCUGAUGCAGCAACGCCGCGUGAGGGACGACGGCCUUCGGGUUGUAAACCUCUUUUAGUAGGGAAGAAGCGAAAGUGACGGUACCUGCAGAAAAAGCACCGGCUAACUACGUGCCAGCAGCCGCGGUAA